rnacentral:lncRNA from 1 species
GUUGCUGGUUACUAAAUUAAAUAAAAUACAAAAAGGUAUUAUACUCUUUACAACUUAGUUUUAUUAACUUUAUUGAAAACCCUAACAGGGCUUAAUACAGACAAACUGGGAAUUAAUACAGGGCCAUUACAGAAAAACAGGGCCAUUACAGAAAAAACAGGGCCAUUACAGAAAAACAGGGCCAUUAUAGAAAAAAAACAGGGCCAUUACAGAAAAACAGGGCCAUUACAGAAAAACAGGGCCAUUACAGAAAAACAGGGCCAUUACAGAAAAUAUGUAAUUUUUAAUGAACAGUCCCUUUUGGCAAUAAUGCACUUAGUUGGUUAAUAAA